GAAUUUAUAUUCAGUUGCGCCCUCGUGUGUGAUUAAAUUCACAACAGCGUCUAUAACAUCAAUAUCUGUAGAAAAUAUACACCUGACAGUAUCUGGCGAUACAAGGCAUGAAUUGCUGUGGUAUCUGGCCAUUUGGGAAACCCGGUGUACCUUACAAGAGGCUCGCUGAUGUAGAAACAGAUGAGAGAAUGGAGAUGGAGAUCAGGCUGGGUAUGCCCCCGGGGGUGUUGGCGGCCGACCUGAUUAGGAGCACCAAGGAUAAGCAGGUCCUGGAGCAACUCUAUCUUCUGGCCGUGCAGGCAAAUAAUUUAACAGAGCACAUCAAGAGAUUUACCUUGGGUGAGAUACCAGAAGAAUGUAAAAAUGUUACCAGAUCUCAAUUGGAAAAAUUAAAGUCUGUCCAACACAUAAUUUGGAACACAAUGAUAUCAUUGGCUGCUGGGGCAAUAAGUGUAGAUGAGGCCACACUUCCAGCCCUGCUGGACAAGAGGGCAGAGGAAACGGUGGCUCUUCUCGAGAUGGAGAAAAUAGCCACAGCAGUCAAACUGGAUGAGACGGCCGCAUGGGCCACUGACAUUGCUGGUAUUGUAUCUAGCCAACCUUUGGCCACGCCCCCAAGUGAGUCACCCGACCAAAUAGCACUGAAAAAAGCCACACAACUUUCAAAUGCUGUUUAUUGAAACUGGUCACACACAUCAUUUUGUGUGCAGUUUUAUUAAUUCACCCCACUUGACCCAAACCCCCGCCCCUCCCUAGAAGGCUUUCCUGGCCUCUGUUUGCUGUAUCGCCUAUUCUUUUCUUCAGCAAUUUCAGACUUGUCUGCAGCUUCGUGCGGAACCCUAAUAAACUGUACAACAGCUAAACCCGGUAUGUCCAUUGAGCAUUCUUUGCUUGUUAACAGCUGCAGCAGGGAGGGACUAUAAGAUUUAGAAAUAAAUACUAUUUGGGCUAUUCUGAUGCCUUGAGGGAUAAUUAUGGGUUCUGUUGUCAGAUUAUGGAGUGUCAAUGAAAAUUUUUCAGCCAUGUUGAUACCGGUAGGUGUCACUAGUAUUCCUCUACAGGCGAUGCCAGACCUGCCAAGUACCACUGGGGUAAAUUCUGGAGCAAUGCCAGAUAAAUGGGUCAAAUCAAACUGGAAGGUGUGUCGAGUCUUUGGUAGCAGACACAGGUCCUCAGAGGCUCUGAAAUCAAAUCCUGCAUCUUCGUCAUAUACUGGGUUCUUUAGGAGGUGGUCAUCUGUUAUGACAGGAACCGUGUAGCUCACAGGCAGGAUAUAGAUGGUCAAUUGGCCCGGUUGAAUCUCCACCGUGCUCUGAGCCGCCGUUGCCAGGAUAACAGAGAUUUCACCCCGGUAGCCGGGGUCAAUCAGUCCAGUGUGGCCGGUGACGAGACUGUUGGCACAAAUCGCAUUUAGGAUCAAGGGAAAUCCGCUUGUUUUCUGGAUAAACAGACCAAGAGGCACUUUUGUUCCUUCGCUGGGUUGGACAGAUAUAGGUGUGAUGUUUUGAAAUUUUAGUCUGGUCCCAGGAUCCAGGUCUGUGCCUUGUGUAGUUAGGGCCCAUCCAUGAGUGCACUCUAAAAAGUGCUUGGGCACAAAGGAGUAUUCCACUUUCAUGGCAAAUAAUUGCUCUGUAAAUGAUCUCCAAUAUAUAAGACGAGAGGAGACUUUUCUUGGUAAAGUCUUGGGUCCUGUACCACCUAUUUUAUAGCUGUUUAAAAAUGCAGGUCCUGGUCGUGGUUCUUUUUUUGAUGUGUGCCUUUGUCUGUGGGAUCACCCAAGAAACCACACCUACUCCAAAACCUGAUGACUCAUCUGACUUCUAUGGUCACGGAUGCAACGCUGACACAUACGUCCCUCAGUGGGGGAGUGUCUCUAGUGUGUUGGCAAUAAUUAAUGGGUCUAUAGUCACAGUGUCUAGUGGUGUCUUUUUGAUCUACGCAUGCUUUUCAAAAUUUCUUACUACCAUGACCUCAUAAUGUUGGGAGGAUAAUAUUUAAGCAGUGCCCUGGAGACAACCUGCACCCUUGCUCAACUUGUUGUUAUUCUCCCUGAGCGAUGGCGUCCAAAAAGCCUGAUAAAACCUAUGAAGAAAUGGUCAAGGAAGUAGAAAGGCUUAAACUGGAGAAUAAAACACUUAAACAAAAGGUUAAGUCUUCAGGCGCUGUCUCAUCAGAUGAUAGCAUCUUGACAGCUGCCAAGAGAGAAAGUAUCAUUGUCUCUUCAUCCAGAGCACUAGGAGCAGUGGCUAUGAGAAAAAUCGAGGCUAAAGUCAGAUCCCGGGCGGCCAAAGCUGUUACAGAGCAGGAACUAACCUCUCUUCUCCAAUCGCUGACCCUGAGAGUUGACGUGUCUAUGGAGGAAACUACUGUGGGUGCCAGCGGAGGGAUUGGCCCAUCCUCUCAAACAGAGACCAAGAAAAGAAGACCCAGGUCCAAAUCAAGACACAGACAUGAUCAUGAAUAAAAAGAAACACUUGAAUCUAUAA
rnacentral:tmRNA from 1 species